rnacentral:rRNA from 1 species
CGUAGGGGGCAAGCGUUGUCCGGAUUUAUUGGGCGUACAGCGCACGCAGGCGGUCAAGGAAGUUCAGGGUGACAGUUCCCGGCUUAACUGGGAAAGUGCCUUGCAAACUCCUGGACUUGAGGGCUUCAGAGGGACACGGAAUUCCGGGUGUAGUGGUGAAAUGCGUAGAUAUCCGGAGGAACACCAAAGGCGAAGGCAGUGUCCUGGGAAGCAUCUGACGCUCAGGUGCGAAAGCUAGGGGAGCGAACGGGAUUAGAUACCCCGGUAGUCCUAGCCGUAAACGAUGACCACUAGGCGUGGGAGGUAUCGACCCCUUCCGUGCCGCAGUUAACACAAUAAGUGGUCCGCCUGGGGAGUACGGUCGCAAGAUUA